CAACUUCUUUUGAUUGUUGUUUUUCUUCUUCGCCAGACUUUGUUUUCAUAUUUUUGCUGACGUGCUCGAUAAAUAUUCGAUUAGACAGUUUGGUUUCACUCUUUGCGGGACUCCGACAUAAACAGACUUUAACUAAGACCCAUCAUCAGCAUCAUCAGAUAAUGAUUGCAAACGUCAACAAGUGUACGGUGUGCUGUCAUUUAAUUUAGUUUGAUUUAUAAUAAUAAUUUUGAAGAAAUAAAAUAGUUUCAUACUGAAGGAUGAUCUGUAUUUUGGACGUCAACCUCAACUGCAUCCUGCAUACCAUCGGUGCAAUAUCAGUGGCCGUUAACCUCUGUACGCGAUACUCCCACCGCCGGUAGGCAAGCAAAGAAAUCUUUUUCGGAGCUGAAAGAAUGUUUGCCCAGUCAACCUCUAGUAGAAUACCUUAUAGGCGAUCUGAGAUGAAGACGUAUCAUCAAAUAUAGCAUUUUACGUAUCAAC